CAGCCCAGGAAGGCACAAUGAAGUCAGAAUGGAUCCUGAAGGGUGGCAACGAGGGCAGCAAAAAAUGCUCUUGGUGAAGAGAGAGUUUGUGCCAUUAAGUGGUUUAUCAUCAGCAAUUUUAGGAUCUUUGAAAAUGUAAUACAUGUUUUGAAAUGAGUGCCCUGUCCAGAUAACCACUUCUUCCUCUUGGUUCUUUUAACUGCUGCUAGAAUCUGAAAGGUUCAUGCUCCUUUCAUACAGAGAUGUCUGACUUUCUUCUGUGAAUUAUCACAUGAGAGCAUGCACAGAAAAUAUGUCCGGGGAUAGGGACAGUGUGGGAAUGCGGCUGAGGUUGGUUGGACAAUGGGACUGAGAGAUCGUCAUGAGCUGUGAGAUACUAAUUUUUAAAAGAACAUACAGAAAUUAUGCCCCUAAGGGAGUAAUGUCUCAGUAAUAUCAAAUCUUUAUCCUUUGGAGAUAAAUUUGAUUUUUGGAAAAAUCCAAAAGUCAUCUGGAAUGUAGUAUUAUUAUAAAGUUGGUUUAAGGGAACAAUUUUUCUUAUGUGGUUCACAAACUGAUUCUAAGAAGGCAAUUUCAAAAGAUGAACUCUAGAAAAAUUUUAAACAAUGGCGGCAUCAUGAGACUAAGCAAGUCAUCUUUCGAGAAGAAUUAUUUGUUGGAAGUAUAAAUUUGGUCUUAUUUGUGUUUUGGAGUCAGGUGGAUCAGGGCUUUAGAUCUGGCUUCAUGUAUUUCCAGAUCUAUGACUUGGGUUACUGAACCAGGUGAAGCCUCAGUUCAUUUCCUAACCUGUAAGAUGAAGAUAAUUCUAGUAUCUAUCUUGUGGCAUUGUGAAGAUUAAAAAAUGAUAGUGUAUGUAAAGUGCUCUGCCCAGUGCCUAGCAUAUAGUAAAUGCUCAAUAAAAGUGAUGCUAACUCAUACCCUCCUUCCUACCCUCAAGGUGGCUAUAUGGAUUCCAGUCAGGAAGAACUUGGAACCAUGUUAUACCAUUUAUUUGAGUACUAUGGUCCUAGGCAAGUCAUCUGACUUUUAGAGUUCUGAUGUCCUGCUUUAUAAAGUGGAUAUAAUAAUACCUCUUUUACCAGAUUAUCAUGAAUGUUAGAGAUAAUGUACAUAAAGGAUUUAGAGCCAUAAUUAUGAUUAUUAUGGAAAGGAAUCUUAGAAUAACAACCUUUUAAUGGGGACCAGAUUGUUCUGUAAAGAUAACAAAUUUAAUAUGGUACUAAUGCUGGUAUUUUAAAACUGACAAAAUUCCAAAUUGAAACUUGAGAUUUUUUCAAGAAGGAAAAUAUCUCUGGGUAUGGCUGCAUCACAACUGAAUUAUUGGUUUCUUGGUUGCAAACCUAUAAUACAAUAGGGAAGCUCAUCUCACUCAUAUCUCCCAGUGGAUUUCACAGGAUUCCUACUGCUAUCAACAAGAGGAUUUGGUUAACUAUAGAGCCCAGGGAAACAUCACUUCCAUGGUUAGAAGUUUUUCGUUAUGUACAGACCAAGACCUUAGAGAAUAGUUUCAGUUGUAAAAUAAUUAAGUGCAUCUUGUAAAAUGCAAAUAAAAAUUUUAAUGGAGAAAGGCCAUUACUCUGCUCCUCAUUUCCGUUAUUAAAUCUCCCUUAACAAGUGUUUAAGUAAUUCUUAUAACAGCAACAAAAAAGUCAGAGCCUGUAGCAACAUCUCUCUUUCAAGAGGAGAGAAUAUUCAUAUUUUCUUUUCAUUUUGUUUGGCAAAAAUGUCUCAGUUAAAAUGAGAUGUCUGACUCAUUUCUAGAGCCAAAUAUUUCUGAAAUAAAAGUUUGAAGUUACAAAAAUAAAAAAUUAAAACCCAGUUCAAUUCAAAAAUAG
rnacentral:lncRNA from 1 species